rnacentral:misc_RNA from 1 species
AGAUACGCAAUUUUACUUGGAUCAUUACCAAGUAAAUGUUUCAGAACAACCCUUUUUACAAAAUAGAUCCCUACUUGUGUCCUUGUAAAAAAUGAAGGUUGCUUACACAAUUCAUUAGUUCAUCUGCACUAUUACAAGUCUCAAUGUUUCAUCUUACGCCAAAAAACUGAAGACAGCAAACAAUUAGACUUCAGAUUUAUGAACUCGAAGCAUCUAUUAUUU